rnacentral:lncRNA from 1 species
GAAGUUUAAAGUUUAAACCUAUGCUUAAUAUCCCCAAGCUACCUUGGAUUAGGGAGUCAAACAACAGCUCCUACCCCCUGCUCCUCUCUAUCUUAUCAGCAUAAAUACCUCUCAUCUUGCUCUUCCAAAGAUUACACAAUCACUCUCCAAACUCAUAUACUUGCCCUUCUCAAAAAUAGCACUAGCUUGAGCAUUGAAGUGACACCAGGGGGAAAGCCCUGCUCCAAACUCUUGCUGUGUGGCAAGUACUGAAUUGGAGUGCGCCUCAGCACUACACGCCGGCACCUGGGAUCCUUGCUUGCACACAAGGUCCAGAAGAAAAGGUUUAACAUAUCUAAGCUUGCAGGGCCGCAAGCCUCAGAGAAGAUUGAUACGACAAGAAGCACUCGAAUUACACCCUUGGGAAAAACUGGUGAGAACUGAUGCACUGUACUUCGUAAGAAUCACCCGAGUGAGAGUGACAUUGACAUUCGUAUUGCUACAAUUCCACUUUAAACAGCCCAAAACGAUAAUUAAGCAGUGGCCAUUGCAUUUCAAAUUACUAAACUUAUAUGCUAAUAAAACAUAGAAAUGUUAGCAGUUGCACUACUCUUUUAACUCUCUACGUCCUUUGAUUUUUGAAUAGCCAAAAGAGAGUCAAAGAGCUGUAGCCUUUGAGUAUAUGAUUCGACUCGUAUGCUAAUCUCUCAUGUUUUAUCUUGAAUCUCUGAUGAUGGUACUAGCUAGGCACUUUAGAAACAACGAAUCAAAUCUUUGAAUGCUUUAGCCUGCAUCAGCUGCCACCUCGUAGGAAGACUUCAGGGACUUAAAACUAGAAGCAUUCUGAGUUAGGAACAUGUAUAACAUGGAGUUUCCAAUCGUGGUUCCACAAGAAGCUUUAUAUGAGAUCAUUCUACUACAAUAGCAGGCUACUAACAAUAGAUUAGUUUCGGAAUACAAUUCUACUCCUCCCAUUUAGUCACAUAAAUGUGCCAGUAGAAAUGUCUUAAGAGUUUCAGGUAAGCCAUUAAUCCCUCAAAAUUUAGUAACUCUUCCGACAUUGCUUUUAGCUUAACUGAAGACCACUAACAGCAAGAAAGUAAGCUUCUCAUUUCUUCAACCACAGGUAUCUGCAACAUAAUGAAGAACAUGAAAGUAUAAUCAGCCCCUAGCAGAAAUGCAUGAGAGUGAACUGCUGUUUACCCAGGAAGUGUCACCUAUAAGUCAUCCAGCAUCUAGUAAUGCUCCCUUCCAACAGGUCAGAGACAAACUGAUUUUUGACAAAGAUGAUAAGUUCAUCUGCUGCUCCCAGUUGUUACUGAUUUUGAUUCAACUAGGCGAACUUCUUGCGGAAGCAGGUCAUAUUUGAUUUUUAGCUCCUCAAAAAUUCUCUUAAUCUCUAGAACCAAUUCAGAUCUCCGCCUGUUCUUCUCCCCAUAGUCCUGAAAAUUCAUUGUAUGGUUAAAAAAAAUAGCCAUCUUUAUCUUGUUCACGUUCUCAAUCUCCUUUACCACCACACUGUGAUUAGGAUGCCAAUACGAUGGAUUUUUCUCCAAAUACCUAAGCACGCAAGAAAUAAUAAUAGGAUUAGUGCACAAAUAACAGCGGCAGACUACCCUAGAUGCAUGCACUCUAAUUUCCAAACGUCCAAUAUAAUGCCGGUUAGUAAUAAUCUCCAAAAACUUUAGCAGCUUCUACAAAUACUUAAAUUGCUGCUUUUGAUCAGCAUCUUUAAGCUUAAGCAGUACAAACUUGAACAGCUCAAAACAGCAUUUAGCUUAAAACAUACAAUCAGCUCAUUACAGGUGGUUCAUAAACACCUUUGAGGCCCUUAUUCAUGCAUUCCACCAAUACAACUGAUAUGCCAGAAAUAGAAGAAAUAUAAGCUUAGAAGGUGGUCAGAUACAGACAUAACCAUGCUGGAGUAAACAUGUAAAAACCCUAAAGGGUGCCAUAAGAAAAGAACAUGUUUAUUGAUGAGGAAAACCAUAAGUUUCAGGGGACCAACUUGCAUUCUUUUAAUAAAACACGCUGGAAAAGGCAUUUAUAUUUUUUGUGGUGCAUUAUUUAGGUACAUGAGAGGGUGGAAUAGCAGGGAAACCCCUCACUGCAUCCUAUACCUCCUUUAACAGCAGAAGGGCAUUAUACAAGUAGCAUGUAGACGUGUAUGCAUGUAACUGAAUUCAUUUCAUGCACUUUCAGGCAACAUAAUUUAAAACCUGAUGAUUGCCUGCUGGAUGUGUUCUAGGAAGAGCUAAGUCAAUAUCUUCCCACAAUUAACAGCAGAUGAAGGAUUUUAUGCACUGUUAACAGUAAAUGUCUAACUACUAUAUGACCAUUUAUGGUCACUGGUGUAAUUGCUGUAAAGGAUAUGUCUAGAAUUGCACAAUGCAAAACUGCACUGUCAGCCACUUAAUGAAAAGAAAAUCAAAGAACUGAACUAAGGCUUCUGUGGGACAUGUAGGAUUGUGAAUUCAAACAUCACAGGCCCAAAAGCAUCCAACCGCAUCCAGUCAUGUGAUUUUCAUGCCAUAGGAGGGCUAACAUUUUUAGUAAGCUAAGCAUUAUUCUCCUUUUGUCGCAGAAAUGCACUUAGUAAUUUACACUGCAAUGCGUCCUCCCCAACAUCUAUUAUAGAUAUCAAGAUUUGGCACAAGGCAACAACAUGAAAUUGUUCUCUACUUCUCAAUCUAACUGUGCAUUUGACUGCAGCUUUGACAUAAAGCAUCAUACAAGUUCAACAGGAUAAUGAAAUGAAGGGAACUGUUCAGUAGAAUCUAAAGUUUAAGAAGAGCUAGUUGUGGCUGCCCAGUUGCUAAGCAGAGCCAGAAGCAAUACAAUAUUCCGAACUUUUCAAAAUGAAGGAGCAUAUUGUUAAAUAAAUAAUGAAUUGACAAGUACUGCAAGUGAAGAAAAAAGCAAUAUCAAACUCACUUCUUUAUUUUGUCUUUUAGAGUUCCUAUCAAUUCCAGUGGUGUCUUGAAAUCAAUAGAGAACUCAAGGGAAUCACCCAUGUCAGGGCUUCUAUAAAAAUUGCUGAUUGGCUUGGAAGCCAAAACAGAAUUUGGAUAGUAUAUCUUUUCAUUGUCGUAGCGGAGAAAGACAGUUGUUAAGAUAUUCAUCUCCUCUACUACCAUCUGUAAGAGUUUAAGGUAAGAAAAAACAUUCAUAAAGAGCUCAUUACCAGAGAAAGCUAAACAGAUCAUCAAAGUUACCUGGACACCAUCGACUACGCAGCGAUCACCAACAUCAAAAGGAUGCAUCACAAACACAAAUAUAAUAGCUUCAAAAAUAGUCUUGCAAGUAUUCCCAAACAUAAAAGCUACCAACACAAGCUGUGAUGACAGAAAGACAAGCACUUUGGUCGUCGCUAUUUCCAUUAAAAGAAGCCAUAUGAUUAUUAUUAUGAUAAUUAAGAUUGCCGUAACAAGCUUGCCCAACUGCUUCACAGCAGUUUUAGUGUCAUUUAAAGCAUGCGCCAAGGCUUUACGACCGUUAUAAACUUUUACCUGUACAGCAUGCAGAAAAAAGAGAAGUCAGAACAUGUCUUUGUAUGUGUGAGCACGAGUGAGGGCGGGGGAAGAAGGGAUUUCCUCAACAAUCAUUACAAUAGGAAAAAGUUUUACUACACAACUAGUAUGACAGGUUCAAGUAGUUGGAUGAAUUAAGUUGCUUUCCAUUGCCUUCUUUCGACCUUUUUCUGUUUAGACUAUCAAAUGAGAUAUGUUAUGAUACUGUUUAUUAACUCAGACCAUAAAUUCCAGUGUGCUAAAUAGGACAAAUGCGAACAUCAGUGGACAACAAGGAAAAGAGGCAUUUGUGCUUCAUAUGGUUGCUGGAAAGACAGUAG